UUCACCCUCCACCCAACUCCCAGCCACACCAGUUUAGGAGUCCGGCCAGGGUCUGGUCUCCACUUGGUUCCCCUGAAUCCCGGGCCCUGCCCCAGAAUGGAGACACGGGAGAAGGACAGUGUUUGGGUCCUUGUCACAGGACAAAAGGUCCACCACGCCCCAGACUGGAGCUGGAGCCCGGCGCCUUCUUACUGAGCAUGGGAAGGAAGAUUGGGGGUGAAAGAAAAGCGUCACUUGCGGAACAGAAAAACGCGGAAGAAGAAGGCAGCUCCUCCGCGAGUGGCUGAGAGAGGCACCAAGGCAGGGCCUUCCAGGCGGGAUCUGUCCAUACCAGGCCCGCAGGCAGACAGAUCUGCCCAGAUGCCUCCCCAGAAGUCGCGUGCGUGUGACCUGCUUGCUUCAUCCGUUUGCAGAACGUUCCAGUGGCUCAAGUUUACAGAACUUUAGAGGGUGCCAGUGGGGAAUUCUGAACUCACCUUUUGAUCUGUGGCUCACUUAAAUAAAAAAUAAAAUGGU